GGGUUGUGAGGUUAAGCGACUAAGCGUACACGGUGGAUGCCCUGGCAGUCAGAGGCGAUGAAGGGCGUGCUAAUCUGCGAUAAGCGCCGGUAAGGUGAUAUGAACCGUUAUAACCGGCGAUACCCGAAUGGGGAAACCCAGUGUGACUCGUCACACUAUCAUUAACUGAAUCCAUAGGUUAAUGAGGCGAACCGGGGGAACUGAAACAUCUAAGUACCCCGAGGAAAAGAAAUCAACCGAGAUUCCCCCAGUAGCGGCGAGCGAACGGGGAGGAGCCCAGAGCCUGAAUCAGCAUGUGUGUUAGUGGAAGCGUCUGGAAAGGCGCGCGAUACAGGGUGACAGCCCCGUACACAAAAGCGCAUGUGCUGUGAGCUCGAUGAGUAGGGCGGGACACGUGGUAUCCUGUCUGAAUAUGGGGGGACCAUCCUCCAAGGCUAAAUACUCCUGACUGACCGAUAGUGAACCAGUACCGUGAGGGAAAGGCGAAAAGAACCCCGGCGAGGGGAGUGAAAAAGAACCUGAAACCGUGUACGUACAAGCAGUGGGAGCACCCUUUGGGUGUGACUGCGUACCUUUUGUAUAAUGGGUCAGCGACUUAUAUUCUGUAGCAAGGUUAACCGAAUAGGGGAGCCGGAGGGAAACCGAGUCUUAAUUGGGCGUUAAGUUGCAGGGUAUAGACCCGAAACCCGGUGAUCUAGCCAUGGGCAGGUUGAAGGUUGGGUAACACUAACUGGAGGACCGAACCGACUAAUGUUGAAAAAUUAGCGGAUGACCUGUGGCUGGGGGUGAAAGGCCAAUCAAACCGGGAGAUAGCUGGUUCUCCCCGAAAGCUAUUUAGGUAGCGCCUCGUGAAUUCAUCUCCGGGGGUAGAGCACUGUUUCGGCUAGGGGGCCAUCCCGGCUUACCAACCCGAUGCAAACUGCGAAUACCGGAGAAUGUUAUCACGGGAGACACACGGCGGGUGCUAACGUCCGUCGUGAAGAGGGAAACAACCCAGACCGCCAGCUAAGGUCCCAAAGUCAUGGUUAAGUGGGAAACGAUGUGGGAAGGCCCAGACAGCCAGGAUGUUGGCUUAGAAGCAGCCAUCAUUUAAAGAAAGCGUAAUAGCUCACUGGUCGAGUCGGCCUGCGCGGAAGAUGUAACGGGGCUAAACCAUGCACCGAA
rnacentral:rRNA from 1 species